UGCCAAGCAUCAUCACUCUCUGCCUGGGUCUGCUAACCCAUAACUUCUGAUCAGAUAUUAUCCCAUACUCCCAGCCCAGCAGAGAUUUAUGGGACAUGUCAUUCAUAGUAUUGUUUGUGGGCGCUGCCUAUGGGAAAGGUAUAGUAUUCCUUACAUCAAAUGCCAAACUCUGGGAGUGGGUUUUGGAUUUCCCCAAAACAUAUAUUUAG